rnacentral:rRNA from 1 species
UACGUAGGCAGCGAGCGUUGUUCGGAGUUACUGGGCGUAAAGGGUGUGUAGGCGGUUGUUUAAGUCUGGCGUGAAAGCCCCGGGCUCAGCCCGGGAAGUGCGCUCGAAACUGCGCGGCUCGAGUGCCGGAGGGGAGAGUGGAAUUCCUGGUGUAGCGGUGAAAUGCGUAGAUAUCAGGAGGAAUACCGGUGGCGAAAGCGACUCUCUGGACGGCAACUGACGCUGAGGCACGAAAGCGUGGGGAGCAAACAGG